AAUCCAUAGGUUAAUGAGGCGAACCGGGGGAACUGAAACAUCUAAGUACCCCGAGGAAAAGAAAUCAACCGAGAUUCCCCCAGUAGCGGCGAGCGAACGGGGAGGAGCCCAGAGCCUGAAUCAGCAUGUGUGUUAGUGGAAGCGUCUGGAAAGGCGCGCGAUACAGGGUGACAGCCCCGUACACAAAAGCGCAUGUGCUGUGAGCUCGAUGAGUAGGGCGGGACACGUGGUAUCCUGUCUGAAUAUGGGGGGACCAUCCUCCAAGGCUAAAUACUCCUGACUGACCGAUAGUGAACCAGUACCGUGAGGGAAAGGCGAAAAGAACCCCGGCGAGGGGAGUGAAAAAGAACCUGAAACCGUGUACGUACAAGCAGUGGGAGCACCCUUUGGGUGUGACUGCGUACCUUUUGUAUAAUGGGUCAGCGACUUAUAUUCUGUAGCAAGGUUAACCGA
rnacentral:rRNA from 2 species